rnacentral:rRNA from 1 species
UUAAGCAUAUAAGUAAGCGGAGGAGAAGAAACUAAACAGGAUUCCCUCAGUAAUGGCGAAUGAACAGGGGAGUGCUCAGCAUGGAAAUUGGGGUCUUUGACCUUGAGUUGUGAUCUCGAGAUACACAGCCAACAUUGGUGCAGGCGUAGGCCUCUUGGGAAAGAGCAUCGUCGAGGGUGAGAGUCCCGCGCGUCGCCUGCAACCUCUUGUCUACGGUGUGUUUUCCAAGAGUCACGUUCCUCGGGAUUGGAGCGCAAAGAGGGUGGUAAUUUUCAUCUAAAGCUAAAUAUGGGUUCGAGACCGAUAGCAAACAAGUACCCUGAGGGAAAAUUGAAAAGGACUUUGAAAAGAGAGUUAAACAGAGCCUGCCAUUGCUGAAAGGGAAGCGAACGACACCAGUGUGUGACUUGGCGAGAUUGCUGCGUCGCUAACAGGAUUGCCUCCCUCUGUCAACGCAAGUGGCGAGGUGGGUCUUGACUGGGAACGCACGUGGCACUUCUUGCCCUGUCAGUCAGCGUCUGUUUGCGCACAGGGAAAAUGGUGUGGGCAAGUUAGCCUCGCCCUUGGUGAGGGAAUGCCUGCGCUGUGACCCGUGCGUGUACAGGUCGAUGACGACAUGGUUUCUUUCGACCCGUCUUGAAACACGGACCAAGGAGUCUAACAUAUGUGCGAGUUCGCAGGUGUUUAAGCUUGUUUGCGCAAUGAAAGUGACUGCUGGGAUUUUUGCACCAGCAACCGACCAAUCAUUCGAGAAAGGUUUGAGUAUGAGCAUAUCUGUUAGGACCCGAAAGAUGGUGAACUAUGCCUGUGAAGGGCAAACUCAGGGGAAACUCUGAUGGAGGCUCGUAGCGAUACUGACGUGCAAAUCGUUCGUCAUACAUGGGUAUGGGGGCGAAAGACUAAUCGAACCAUCUAGUAGCUGGUUCCCUCCGAAGUUUCCCUCAGGAUAGCUGGAGUUGAACAGUUUUAUCAGGUAAAGCGAAUGAUUAGAGGAAUCGGGGGCGCGUCGUCCUCGACCUAUUCUCAAACUUUAAAUGGGUAAGAUCCAGUGGUUACUUGGUUGAACUUCUGGGAUACAUGACAACUCUAAGUGGGCCAUUUUUGGUAAGCAGAACUGGCGAUGAGGGAUGAACCUAACGUUGGGUUAAGGUGCUUAAUUGCUCGCUCAUCAGAUACCAUAAAGGGUGUUGGUUCAUUUUAACAGCAGGACGGUGGUCAUGGAAGUCGAAAUCCGCUAAGGAGUGUGUAACAACUCACCUGCCGAAUGGACUAGCCCCGAAAAUGGAUAGCGCUAAAGCGGGUGACUGAUACCCAACCAUUGUUGCAAUGGUGGUGCGUCAAUGAGUAGGAGGGCAUGGGGGUUUGUGAGGAAGUCUGUGGCGCAAGCC